rnacentral:snoRNA from 2 species
ACCCCCUCAGGGUCACACCUGGAGAGUUCCCAGUACUCUACCAGUCUCGACUACAGGAGGGAGAGUCGGGCAGAGGCUUAUCCAUUCCCUUCCUAGCUUGGGCAGUGGCUAGCAAGUGGAAGGCAAUCUGCUACAAGU